GUCCGAGUUGUAAUCUAGAGAAGCAUUUUCCGUGCUGAACCGUGUACAAGUCUCCUGGAAAGGAGCAUCAUAGAGGGUGAGAAUCCCGUCUUUGACACGGACCACCAGUACUAUGUGAUGUGCUCUCAACGAGUCGAGUUGUUUGGGAAUGCAGCUCAAAUAGGGUGGUAAAUUCCAUCUAAAGCUAAAUACAGGCGAGAGACCGAUAGCGAACAAGUACCGUGAGGGAAAGAUGAAAAGAACUUUGGAAAGAGAGUUAAACAGUAUGUGAAAUUGCUGAAAGGGAAACGCUUGAGGUCAGUCAUGUCCUCUAGGGAUCAACCUUGCUUUCAAGCUCGGCGCAUUUCCUAGUGGACGGGUCAGCAUCAGUUUGGGCCACUGUACAAUGAUCUAGGGAAUGUGGCACUCUUUAGAGUGUGUUUAUAGCCUUGGAUCAUAUGCAGUGACAAUGACUGAGGCACUCGGCAUGAUCCUCCCUUCUAGGGAUUUCGUGUCUAGGAUGCUGGCAUAAUGGCCUUAAGCGACCCGUCUUGAAACACGGACCAAGGAGUCUAACAUGCCUGCAAGUGUUUGGGUGGAAAACUCAAGCGCACAAUGAAAGUGAAUGUUGAGACCUCUGUCAUGGAGGGCAUCAACGCCCAGACCUGAGUCUUUGACAAUGGAUCUGCGGUAGAGCAUGCAUGUUGGGACCCGAAAGAUGGUGAACUAUGCCUGAAUAGGGUGAAGCCAGAGGAAACUCUGGUGGAGG
rnacentral:rRNA from 1 species